rnacentral:snoRNA from 11 species
AAAGCAGGUCUGCAAUUGCAGCACUUCAUUGCAGUAGAGUGCUGUCAUUAACCCUGCUGAGAGCAUCUUCCUGCUACAGAGUUCUUACUCCUGUUCACUUUGUUGUGAGGAGGAAACUCUGUGGCUUAACACUG